GUACAAGUCUCCUGGAAGGGAGCAUCGUAGAGGGUGACAAUCCCGUCUCUGACACGGAUCCCCGGUGCUAUGUGAUGCGCUCUCGACGAGUCGAGUUGUUUGGGAAUGCAGCUCAAAUCGGGUGGUAAACUCCAUCUAAAGCUAAAUACAGGCGAGAGACCGAUAGCGAACAAGUACCGUGAGGGAAGGAUGAAAAGAACUUUGGAAAGAGAGUUAAACAGUACGUGAAAUUGCUGGAAGGGAAACGCUUGACGUCAGUCGCGUCGUCCGGGGAUCAACCUCGCUUUUCGCUGGGCGUAUUUCCCGGUCGACGGGUCAGCAUCGAUUUCGACCGUCGUAGAAGGACGCGAGUGAAUGUGGCACUCCACGGGGUGUGUUAUAGCCUCGCGUAUGGAUGCGAUGGUCGGGAUCGAGGAACUCGGCACGACCCCUCGAGGGUUCGGGGCUUCGGUCCACGCGCGUGCCCAGGAUGCUGGCGUAAUGGCUUUAAGCGACCCGUCUUGAAACACGGACCAAGGAGUCUAACGUGCCUGCGAGUGUUCGGGUGCAAAACCCGAGCGCGCAACGAAAGUGAAAGUCGAGACCUCCGUCGUGGAGGGCACCGACGCCCGGACCGGAGCCUUUGGCGAUGGAUCUGCGGUAGAGCAUGUAUGUUGGGACCCGAAAGAUGGUGAACUAUGCCUGAAUAG
rnacentral:rRNA from 1 species